UACAGAGGUCUCAAGCGUUGUUCGGAUUCAUUGGGCGUAAAGGGUGCGUAGGUGGCGCCAUAAGUCAGGUGUGAAAUCUCGGGGCUUAACUCCGAAACUGCAUUUGAUACUGUGGUGCUUGAGGACUGGAGAGGAGACUGGAAUUUACGGUGUAGCAGUGAAAUGCGUAGAGAUCGUAAGGAAGACCAGUGGCGAAGGCGGGUCUCUGGACAGUUCCUGACACUGAGGCACGAAGGCCAGGGGAGCAAACGGG
rnacentral:rRNA from 1 species